CGGGAGGCAGCAGUAGGGAAUCUUCCGCAAUGGACGAAAGUCUGACGGAGCAACGCCGCGUGAGUGAUGAAGGUUUUCGGAUCGUAAAGCUCUGUUGUUAGGGAAGAACAAGUGCAAGAGUAACUGCUUGCACCUUGACGGUACCUAACCAGAAAGCCACGGCUAACUACGUGCCAGCAGCCGCGGUAAUACGUAGGUGGCAAGCGUUGUCCGGAAUUAUUGGGCGUAAAGGGCUCGCAGGCGGUUUCUUAAGUCUGAUGUGAAAGCCCCCGGCUCAACCGGGGAGGGUCAUUGGAAACUGGGAAACUUGAGUGCAGAAGAGGAGAGUGGAAUUCCACGUGUAGCGGUGAAAUGCGUAGAGAUGUGGAGGAACACCAGUGGCGAAGGCGACUCUCUGGUCUGUAACUGACGCUGAGGAGCGAAAGCGUGGGGAGCGAACAGGAUUAGAUACCCUGGUAGUCCACGCCGUAAACGAUGAGUGCUAAGUGUUAGGGGGUUUCCGCCCCUUAGUGCUGCAGCUAACGCAUUAAGCACUCCGCCUGGGGAGUACGGUCGCAAGACUGAAACUCAAAGGAAUUGACGGGGGCCCGCACAAGCGGUGGAGCAUGUGGUUUAAUUCGAAGCAACGCGAAGAACCUUACCAGGUCUUGACAUCCUCUGACAACCCUAGAGAUAGGGCUUUCCCUUCGGGGACAGAGUGACAGG
rnacentral:rRNA from 1 species